rnacentral:rRNA from 1 species
GAAGGCUGAGCUACCAUGCAGUCGAGCGGAACGAUGGAAGCUUGCUUCCAGGCGUCGAGCGGCGGACGGGUGAGUAAUGCAUAGGAAUCUGCCCGAUAGUGGGGGAUAACCUGGGGAAACCCAGGCUAAUACCGCAUACGUCCUACGGGAGAAAGCAGGGGAUCUUCGGACCUUGCGCUAUCGGAUGAGCCUAUGUCGGAUUAGCUAGUUGGUGAGGUAACGGCUCACCAAGGCCGCGAUCCGUAGCUGGUCUGAGAGGAUGAUCAGCCACAUCGGGACUGAGACACGGCCCGAACUCCUACGGGAGGCAGCAGUGGGGAAUAUUGGACAAUGGGCGAAAGCCUGAUCCAGCCAUGCCGCGUGUGUGAAGAAGGCUUUCGGGUUGUAAAGCACUUUCAGUGGGGAAGAAAUCCUCGGGGCCAAUACCCUCGAGGGAGGACAUCACCCACAGAAGAAGCACCGGCUAACUCCGUGCCAGCAGCCGCGGUAAUACGGAGGGUGCGAGCGUUAAUCGGAAUUACUGGGCGUAAAGCGCGCGUAGGCGGCGUGAUAAGCCGGUUGUGAAAGCCCCGGGCUCAACCUGGGAACGGCAUCCGGAACUGUCAGGCUAGAGUGCAGGAGAGGAAGGUAGAAUUCCCGGUGUAGCGGUGAAAUGCGUAGAGAUCGGGAGGAAUACCAGUGGCGAAGGCGGCCUUCUGGACUGACACUGACGCUGAGGUGCGAAAGCGUGGGUAGCAAACAGGAUUAGAUACCCUGGUAGUCCACGCCGUAAACGAUGUCGACUAGCCGUUGGGGUCCUUGUGACCUUUGUGGCGCAGUUAACGCGAUAAGUCGACCGCCUGGGGAGUACGGCCGCAAGGUUAAAACUCAAAUGAAUUGACGGGGGCCCGCACAAGCGGUGGAGCAUGUGGUUUAAUUCGAUGCAACGCGAAGAACCUUACCUACUCUUGACAUCGUGCGAACUUUCCAGAGAUGGAUUGGUGCCUUCGGGAACGCACAGACAGGUGCUGCAUGGCCGUCGUCAGCUCGUGUUGUGAAAUGUUGGGUUAAGUCCCGUAACGAGCGCAACCCUUGUCCCUAUUUGCCAGCGAUUCGGUCGGGAACUCUAGGGAGACUGCCGGUGACAAACCGGAGGAAGGUGGGGACGACGUCAGGUCAUCAUGGCCCUUACGAGUAGGGCUACACACGUGCUACAAUGGCCGGUACAAAGGGUUGCGAAGCCGCGAGGUGGAGCUAAUCCCGAAAAGCCGGUCUCAGUCCGGAUCGGAGUCUGCAACUCGACUCCGUGAAGUCGGAAUCGCUAGUAAUCGUGAAUCAGAAUGUCACGGUGAAUACGUUCCCGGGCCUUGUACACACCGCCCGUCACACCAUGGGAGUGGACUGCACCAGAAGUGGUUAGCCUAACUUCGGAGGGCGAUCACCACGGUGUAACGU